AUGUCGCAACACAAGUUCCUUUUCACCUCCGAAUCUGUCUCUGAAGGGCAUCCUGACAAGAUGUGUGACCAGAUCUCGGACGCUGUUCUUGAUGCUCAUUUGGCUCAAGAUCCUCACGCAAAGGUUGCAUGUGAAACGGUGACUAAAACGGGUAUGAUCAUGUUGUGCGGUGAGAUCACCUCGAAAGCUGUCGUCGACUACCAGGUUCUCGUCCGAAACGUCAUUAAGAAAAUUGGAUACGAUGAUUCCUCGAAAGGUAUGAAGAAUAUAAUUUCGUUUCUACACUAUUGGCUCAUCACAUUGUGUCAGGAAUCUCAUUUUCUUGGUUUAUUGAUUAAAUACAGUAUUCAAUUUCAGGAUUCGAUUACAAGACAUGCAAUGUUCUUGUUGCACUCGAACAACAAUCACCUGAAAUCGCUGCUGGAGUCCACGUGGACAAGGAUAGUGACGAUGUCGGAGCCGGAGAUCAAGGAAUUAUGUUUGGAUAUGCUACUGAUGAAACCGAAGAAGCGAUGCCAUUGACUCUUCUCUUGUCUCACAAGCUGAACCGGAAGCUUCACGAGCUCCGUAGAUCUGGAGAGCUCGAAUGGGUUCGUCCGGACUCGAAGACCCAAGUCACAAUCGAAUAUGCUUCGGAAGGAGGAGCAUGUGUCCCACUACGCGUCCACACUGUUGUUAUCUCCACCCAACAUUCUCCAGAUAUCAGUCUCGAUGAUUUGAGAAAGGAACUCAUCGAAAAGGUUAUCAAAGCUGUAAUUCCUGCCAAUCUCAUCGACGACAAGACCAUCUAUCAUCUCAAUCCAUGUGGAUCAUUCAUUAUUGGAGGACCAAUGGGAGAUGCUGGACUUACUGGACGUAAGAUCAUCGUUGAUACCUACGGAGGAUGGGGAGCUCACGGAGGAGGUGCUUUCUCUGGAAAAGACCCAACCAAAGUCGAUCGUUCUGCCGCAUAUGCUGCUCGUUGGGUUGCCAAGUCACUUGUCAAAUCAGGACUCUGUCGCCGUUGUCUUGUUCAAGUAUCUUAUGCAAUCGGAGUAGCCAAACCACUUUCAGUGAUGGUGUUCUCUUUCGGGACAUCUGCGUUGAACGAAGGAGAACUAUUGAAAAUUGUCAAUGACAACUUUGAUUUGCGACCUGGAAUGAUUAUUAAGGAUCUCGAUUUGAAGAAACCAAUUUAUGAACCAACCGCUGAGAACGGACACUUUGGACACAAUGAAUUCCCAUGGGAGCAGCCACGUCAUCUUCAGAUUGAUGUUGAACUUCUUAAAAAGAUUGGAGGAAAAACGAUCUCAAACGGAAAUGGAAUUGCCCAUUGA
rnacentral:misc_RNA from 1 species